AGAGACUUAGGCUAACUGCAAGACCACGGGCCUUCAAAGCCCUAAGUGGGAGUUAAAAUCUUCCAGUCUCUG
rnacentral:tRNA from 1 species